GACGAACGCUGGCGGCGUGCCUAAUACAUGCAAGUAGAACGCUGAAGGAGGAGCUUGCUUCUCUGGAUGAGUUGCGAACGGGUGAGUAACGCGUAGGUAACCUGCCUGGUAGCGUGGGAUAACUAUUGGAAACGAUAGCUAAUACCGCAUAAGAGUAGAUGUUGCAUGACAUUCGCUUAAAAGGUGCAAUUGCAUCACUACCAGAUGGACCUGCGUUGGAUUAGCUAGUUGGUGGGGUAACGGCUCACCAAGGCGACGAUACAUAGCCGACCUGAGAGGGGGAUCGGCCACACUGGGACUGAGACACGGCCCAGACGCCUACGGGAGGCAGCAGUAGGGAAUCUUCGGCAAUGGACGGAAGUCUGAGCGAGAAACGCCGCGUGAGUGAAGAAGGUUUUCGGAUCGUAAAGCUCUGUUGUAAGAGAAGAACGAGUGUGAGAGUGGAAAGUUCACACUGUGACGGUAUCUUACCAGAAAGGGACGGCUAACUACGUG
rnacentral:rRNA from 1 species